GACACAAUACAACCAGUACUGCUACUUCACUAGAACACUUCGCCAUUUUACCUUGUUUCUGAAAGAACUCUGUGUAAGAUCUAACUGAAGACGAUGCCAAAAACUAGCACCACCCUCUCCGCUUCUCUUGCUCUGCAUCAGAAUUAACAUCAUCAAAAGUUUAACAUACCAAAGUAAAUAAUAAGAAAAAUAAAGGCAAUGCCACUUUCAACUGCAACUAAUAUCUGUAGAUAUGUUGGAUCAUCUUUGAAAUGGAAGUGACGAUCAAGUCCAUUGAACAGUACAACCACAACUGCAUUAGCUACAAGUACAAAAAAAAAAUUUUGAUGAAAAUUUAAGAGGUAUUUUACAAAAUUGUAUUAUUUCUGACCAAUUAAGAAGUAUUUUGUAAUGUGGGUUUAGAAAUGUAAAGUUGAAAUACAAAAAUGACUGCAAGCAAGAAUCCUGACCAUCAGCAGCACUGUGUUGUACAGGAGCUAAUAUUGCAUAGCUAAAUAGAGCUCAAACAAACAAAAUGUAGUUAUUUACCUGUACUCAGGUAUCAAGAGUUUAGAAGGAAAACAAAAUGAUAGAUGAAGUUUUCAUUUGAUACAAUUCAAAGGAUGUGAGAUCAUUGUUUUUCAAAUAUUUGUUGGCUUUAAUUUGUAUAGGUCAAUUUAUUACCAGUACCACAAAAAUUGUUUAAAAUGUUUUUCAAGCCAUGGUUUGA